GACGAACGCUGGCGGCGUGCUUAACACAUGCAAGUCGAACGGAAAGGCCCUGCUUUUGUGGGGUGCUCGAGUGGCGAACGGGUGAGUAACACGUGAGUAACCUGCCCUUGACUUUGGGAUAACUUCAGGAAACUGGGGCUAAUACCGGAUAGGAGCUCCUGCUGCAUGGUGGGGGUUGGAAAGUUUCGGCGGUUGGGGAUGGACUCGCGGCUUAUCAGCUUGUUGGUGGGGUAGUGGCUUACCAAGGCUUUGACGGGUAGCCGGCCUGAGAGGGUGACCGGCGACAUUGGGACUGAGAUACGGCCCAGACUCCUACGGGAGGCAGCAGUGGGGAAUAUUGCACAAUGGGGGGAAGCCUGAUGCAGCAACGCCGCGUGCGGGAUGACGGCCUUCGGGUUGUAAACCGCUUUCGCCUGUGACGAAGCGUGAGUGACGGUAAUGGGUAAAGAAGCACCGGCUAACUACGUG
rnacentral:rRNA from 1 species